AGUAAAAGUCGUAACAAGGUUUCCGUAGGUGAACCUGCGGAAGGAUCAUUAAUGAAACUUCAAAGUCGGCUUGUCAUCUGUGCUGGUGGAGACACAUGUGCACGUUGCAAGUCGCAAAUCCCACACACCUGUGCACCUAUGACUCUGAGUACCGCUUUGCAUGGGCCCCUCAAAGGCCCUGGUACUCGAGUACUUUUACACACUCUGAAUGUAAUGGAAUGUCUAUUGUACAAUGUACAACCAAAACAACUUUCAACAACGGAUCUCUUGGUUCUCGCAUCGAUGAAGAACGCAGCGAAAUGCGAUAAGUAAUGUGAAUUGCAGAAUUCAGUGAAUCAUCGAAUCUUUGAACGCACCUUGCACCCUUUGGUAUUCCGAAGGGUACACCCGUUUGAGUGUCAUUGUAAUCUCACCCCCUUGACUUUUUUGUUGAUCGGUGUGGACCUGGAUGUUGCCGUGUAACAAACGGCUCGUCUGAAAUGCCUGAGUGUACCCUGCUUUGCAGCGUAUUCGGUGUGAUAAAUCUUUACCGGAGUUGACUUUUUCGAGUCGCGCUUGUACCUGUGGGCUCUAUGCUUCCAAACAGUCCUGACAAGGACAAUCUUUGACAAUUUGACCUCAAAUCGGGUGGGACUACCCGCUGAACUUAAG
rnacentral:rRNA from 1 species